rnacentral:rRNA from 1 species
CACGUAGGGGGCGAGCGUUGUCCGGAUUUAUUGGGCGUAAAGAGCUCGUAGGCGGUUCGGUAAGUCGGGUGUGAAAACUCGGGGCUCAACCCCGAGACGCCACUCGAUACUGCUGUGGCUAGAGUCCGGUAGGGGAGCGUGGAAUUCCUGGUGUAGCGGUGAAAUGCGCAGAUAUCAGGAGGAACACCGGUGGCGAAGGCGGCGCUCUGGGCCGGAACUGACGCUGAGGAGCGAAAGCGUGGGGAGCAAACAGG